AGCGUACACGGUGGAUGCCCUGGCAGUCAGAGGCGAUGAAGGACGUGCUAAUCUGCGAUAAGCGUCGGUGAGGUGAUAUGAACCGUUAUAACCGGCGAUUUCCGAAUGGGGAAACCCAGUGUGUUUCGACACACUAUCAUUAACUGAAUCCAUAGGUUAAUGAGGCGAACCGGGGGAACUGAAACAUCUAAGUACCCCGAGGAAAAGAAAUCAACCGAGAUUCCCCCAGUAGCGGCGAGCGAACGGGGAGGAGCCCAGAGCCUGAAUCAGUGUGUGUGUUAGUGGAAGCGUCUGGAAAGGCGCGCGAUACAGGGUGACAGCCCCGUACACAAAAAUGCACAUAUUGUGAGCUCGAUGAGUAGGGCGGGACACGUGGUAUCCUGUCUGAAUAUGGGGGGACCAUCCUCCAAGGCUAAAUACUCCUGACUGACCGAUAGUGAACCAGUACCGUGAGGGAAAGGCGAAAAGAACCCCGGCGAGGGGAGUGAAAAAGAACCUGAAACCGUGUACGUACAAGCAGUGGGAGCCUCUUAAUGGGGUGACUGCGUACCUUUUGUAUAAUGGGUCAGCGACUUAUAUUCUGUAGCAAGGUUAACCGAAUAGGGGAGCCGAAGGGAAACCGAGUCUUAACUGGGCGUUAAGUUGCAGGGUAUAGACCCGAAACCCGGUGAUCUAGCCAUGGGCAGGUUGAAGGUUGGGUAACACUAACUGGAGGACCGAACCGACUAAUGUUGAAAAAUUAGCGGAUGACUUGUGGCUGGGGGUGAAAGGCCAAUCAAACCGGGAGAUAGCUGGUUCUCCCCGAAAGCUAUUUAGGUAGCGCCUCGUGAAUUCAUCUCCGGGGGUAGAGCACUGUUUCGGCAAGGGGGUCAUCCCGACUUACCAACCCGAUGCAAACUGCGAAUACCGGAGAAUGUUAUCACGGGAGACACACGGCGGGUGCUAACGUCCGUCGUGAAGAGGGAAACAACCCAGACCGCCAGCUAAGGUCCCAAAGUCAUGGUUAAGUGGGAAACGAUGUGGGAAGGCCCAGACAGCCAGGAUGUUGGCUUAGAAGCAGCCAUCAUUUAAAGAAAGCGUAAUAGCUCACUGGUCGAGUCGGCCUGCGCGGAAGAUGUAACGGGGCUAAACCAUGCACCGAAGCUGCGGCAGCGACACUAUGUGUUGUUGGGUAGGGGAGCGUUCUGUAAGCCUGUGAAGGUGGCCUGUGAGGGUUGCUGGAGGUAUCAGAAGUGCGAAUGCUGACAUAAGUAACGAUAAAGCGGGUGAAAAGCCCGCUCGCCGGAAGACCAAGGGUUCCUGUCCAACGUUAAUCGGGGCAGGGUGAGUCGACCCCUAAGGCGAGGCCGAAAGGCGUAGUCGAUGGGAAACAGGUUAAUAUUCCUGUACUUGGUGUUACUGCGAAGGGGGGACGGAGAAGGCUAUGUUGGCCGGGCGACGGUUGUCCCGGUUUAAGCGUGUAGGCUGGUUUUCCAGGCAAAUCCGGAAAACCAAGGCUGAGGCGUGAUGACGAGGCACUACGGUGCUGAAGCGACAAAUGCCCUGCUUCCAGGAAAAGCCUCUAAGCAUCAGGUAACAUCAAAUCGUACCCCAAACCGACACAGGUGGUCAGGUAGAGAAUACCAAGGCGCUUGAGAGAACUCGGGUGAAGGAACUAGGCAAAAUGGUGCCGUAACUUCGGGAGAAGGCACGCUGAUAUGUAGGUGAAGCGACUUGCUCGUGGAGCUGAAAUCAGUCGAAGAUACCAGCUGGCUGCAACUGUUUAUUAAAAACACAGCACUGUGCAAACACGAAAGUGGACGUAUACGGUGUGACGCCUGCCCGGUGCCGGAAGGUUAAUUGAUGGGGUUAGCGGUAACGCGAAGCUCUUGAUCGAAGCCCCGGUAAACGGCGGCCGUAACUAUAACGGUCCUAAGGUAGCGAAAUUCCUUGUCGGGUAAGUUCCGACCUGCACGAAUGGCGUAAUGAUGGCCAGGCUGUCUCCACCCGAGACUCAGUGAAAUUGAACUCGCUGUGAAGAUGCAGUGUACCCGCGGCAAGACGGAAAGACCCCGUGAACCUUUACUAUAGCUUGACACUGAACAUUGAGCCUUGAUGUGUAGGAUAGGUGGGAGGCUUUGAAGUGUGGACGCCAGUCUGCAUGGAGCCGACCUUGAAAUACCACCCUUUAAUGUUUGAUGUUCUAACGUGGGCCCCUAAUCGGGGUUGCGGACAGUGUCUGGUGGGUAGUUUGACUGGGGCGGUCUCCUCCUAAAGAGUAACGGAGGAGCACGAAGGUUGGCUAAUCCUGGUCGGACAUCAGGAGGUUAGUGCAAUGGCAUAAGCCAGCUUGACUGCGAGCGUGACGGCGCGAGCAGGUGCGAAAGCAGGUCAUAGUGAUCCGGUGGUUCUGAAUGGAAGGGCCAUCGCUCAACGGAUAAAAGGUACUCCGGGGAUAACAGGCUGAUACCGCCCAAGAGUUCAUAUCGACGGCGGUGUUUGGCACCUCGAUGUCGGCUCAUCACAUCCUGGGGCUGAAGUAGGUCCCAAGGGUAUGGCUGUUCGCCAUUUAAAGUGGUACGCGAGCUGGGUUUAGAACGUCGUGAGACAGUUCGGUCCCUAUCUGCCGUGGGCGCUGGAGAACUGAGGGGGGCUGCUCCUAGUACGAGAGGACCGGAGUGGACGCAUCACUGGUGUUCGGGUUGUCAUGCCAAUGGCACUGCCCGGUAGCUAAAUGCGGAAGAGAUAAGUGCUGAAAGCAUCUAAGCACGAAACUUGCCCCGAGAUGAGUUCU
rnacentral:rRNA from 2 species